rnacentral:rRNA from 1 species
UGUUUUGCGUUAGCUGCAGCACUAAGGGGCGGAAACCCCUAACACUUAGCACUCAUCGUUUACGGCGUGGACUACCAGGGUAUCUAAUCCGUGUNCGNUCCCCACGCUUUCGCNCCUCAGCGUCAGUUACAGACCAGAGAGUCGCCUUCGCCACUGGUGUUCCUCCAUAUCUCUGCGCAUUUCACCGCUACACGUGGAAUUCCACUCUCCUCUUCUGCACUCAAGUUCCCCAGUUUCCAAUGACCCUCCCCGGUUGAGCCGGGGGCUUUCACAUCAGACUUAAGAAACCGCCUGCGAGCCNCUUUACGCCCAAUAAUUCCGGAUAACGCUUGCCACCUACGUAUUACCGCGGCUGCUGGCACGUAGUUAGCCGUGGCUUUCUGGUCAGGUACCGUCAAGGUAGCUCGGACCUAUACGAACAGGAUACUGGUCCUCC